AAACUAACAAGGAUUCCCCUAGUAACGGCGAGCGAAGCGGGAAGAGCUCAAAUUUGAAAGCUGGCACCUUCGGUGUCCGCGUUGUAAUCUCGAGACGUGUUUUCCGUGUGGCGCUAUGGACAAGUCCCUUGGAACAGGGCAUCGUAGAGGGUGAAAAUCCCGUACUUGCCAUGGCUGUACCAUGCUUUGUGAUACACGCUCUAAGAGUCGAGUUGUUUGGGAUUGCAGCUCAAAAUGGGUGGUAGACUCCAUCUAAAGCUAAAUAUCGGGGAGAGACCGAUAGCGAACAAGUACCGUGAGGGAAAGAUGAAAAGCACUUUGGAAAGAGAGUUAAAAGUACGUGAAAUUGUCGAAAGGGAAGCGCUUGAAGUCAGCCAUGCUGCUUGAGACUCAGCCUUGCUUUUGCUUGGUGUAUUUCUCGGUAGCAAGCCAGCAUUGGUUCGAGUCGUCGGAGAAGGGUAUGAGAAAUGUGGCAUCCUCGGAUGUGUUAUAGACUUGUACUGGAUACGACGAUUUGGAUCAAGGAACGCAGUGUGCCUCUGGCGGGUCUUCGGACACCUUCACACUUAGGAUGCUGGCGUAAUGGCUUUAAGCGGC
rnacentral:rRNA from 1 species